CGAAUCGGUAGACGNUACGGACUAAAAUCCGUUGGCUUUAGUGACCGUGAGGGUUCAAGUCCCUCUAUCCCCA
rnacentral:tRNA from 1 species